UGCAAGUGCGCUGACUUCCAUUGGCACGAUC
rnacentral:piRNA from 1 species